CCCGCCAGCCUCCGGUCGCCGGGCGACGAGCGCGCCGCCUCCUUCCGGUGGACUCGCCGCCCGAUGGCGAGCCCACCGGCGGUCGCACGCCAGCAGGGCAACGCCGGCGGGUUGGGGUUCCGCCGAACCCAACCCGUCGGCUCUUAGGAGCAGCGGGCGGCGAUCAUGCUGCCGGACGAAGUGCCGCCCGACGGCGCCACCGGGAUGGGCCCGGUGCCGGACGAAACGCCGCCCGACGGCGUCACCCGGGCGGUCGAACCACCCGCACUGACUCCGGUGGCACGUGCUCAGACUGAGACUCGUGCUGAGAAUGGGACUCGUGCUGCUGGGACUCGUCGGGCUGCUGGGACUGCAAGGACUGAUCGGAAGAAGAUCCCACAGUUGUGUGCUGAAACUCAACAUCUCUGAAUCAUUUUCCUCGCGGCAUGUUGUUACCUAGUAUGCACAAAAAGAAGCAAUAUUAGUUAAAUAAUAAAUAAAAUCUAAAUAUUGAUUGCGGUGCUCACCAAUUCUUUGGUAAGAUUGUUUCUGAUGCUGAGCUGCUCGAUACACUACCCAUUGUUUACUCAUGAUAUGUUAACAAUUCAUGCAACUCUGAAUCACAACUCAUUCUUGCAUAAGAGCUUUUAUUUCUCAGAAAGAAUGGUUGGAAACAGAUGUUAUAGAUGCUAAAAGGAAUGAAAGAUUUUAUUAAUGUUUCGCCUUCUCCUUCAUAUUGACCUUUGUGCUAGUAUUCUUGUUAAUGCUAUAAUUUUUUUAAAGCAAAUUAGCAAGUAUAAAUCUUUCUAAAUGAUUUUCUCAAAAAUCAUUACCUAAUGAAACAGAAGAAACAUAUCAGUAAUCACAUAACUGUCAAAAUUGUCACGAGAGAGAAAGAGAGAUGUAAUUCAUAAGUGCGGGAAUAAUGUAUACCUGUUUACAAGUAAGGCAAGUAUCACUCCUUUCAUCCACUGAAGAAUACACUGUAUGUGCUGAUCUUUAUUGUUUCUGUUCCUAAAAGUGAGCAUUCAGAAUAGGGGACAAAGCAAGUCUCCAAUAUACAACUAAAGAUGAGGCAUGCUGUAGGUUUC